CCUCCCCACCUAUCCCCAUCGUCUUCCUGCUCCGACUCCAGGCCACGAGCUGCUCCCCGCCAAUGGCUCCGCCCCGCGCCUCCUCGCGGCUAUGCCGCCGGCGAUGUGCGCCGCCCCCGGCCGCGCGUCGCUUUCCUCCUCCCGGCAACGCGCCGCUCGCCUCCUCCCGCCCACAUGCCCCAGCGACUCCUCCCUGCUCCACUCCCGACGAGUCGCGCUGCCCCUGGUCACGUUGGGACAUGGGAUAGGUGGGGAGGGUUCGAGUUAAACUCCAUAGGGUGAUGGCAGCUCGCCGCCUUAAAUCCAGGAGGGGGCGACCUGGACCACGCGCACGUCCUCCAGGGGUACAUAAUCGUCCAAAUCUCGCGUUGUUUAUUUUGGGCUCGAUGGUUGCUGGUUUGAUUUGGGGUUGGCGUGUUUGAGGGCGCUCAACUUGGUCGGCGUCCAGUCCUGGCCGGCCUCAACUUCCAUCGUGCAGUCGCGGCCGUGCGGCCGUGACUGUUCCUCUGCUGUCAGUCUAUGAUGGCGGUCAGUCACGGGGGACAGCGCCUAGCUAUCUUUGGAUUGAUGGCGUGAACGUGGGCUCUACAGGAUACCGAGGAGCGCGAGGUUGCCCGUGCCUCCAGCCCCUUGCCGAGAAAACUGAUUGUGUGUGCAAGAGACAUACAGACUUUUCAAAAUCCAAAUACGUUUUCUCCCACUCCUCUUUUGGGAUUUGAUUGGUGCUAUGUUUCUGAAGCCUAGGAAGAGAUGGAGCAUUGCUGUUGAAGAUGGCGAAGGUGAGGAACAUGCACUGUAAUGAAGGAUGCUAACUUAUUGUCCUGAGGAGAGCUGCUGCUACCAUUGACCGGAAUGAAGACAAAGGAUCAAUUUAGGUGGUGAAUGGAAGACUUAAUUCGAGCAACCUGUAUAGAGCCAAAGAACAACGACAGUAAGAAGCAGAUUUCCUGUUCGUUUACAUGGGGCACUUCCUCGCUAGCCUUGAACAAGAUUUCAUCUGUUUUGUCAGACCAAAAGCUGUAGAAACUAGAAAGAACUCUGGUAAUCUGUCAAAGCUUACUUGGCCUGAAACUAUUUAUUUUCUCUUUAUCUUCGCAGGAUGAAGGAUUUAGCUUCUUCUUUGCCUUUUUAUUUUUUUCCAUGUAUCAUGUUACUUGUCAAAGCGAAGCAAUAAAAAAACUCCAGCAACAUACACUGAAAUUGUCACUUUAAGAAGGAACGGGCAGAACCCAUGGUGUGGCUUGAAAUAGGCAAGCACACGAGAAGAAUUGAUCAAACACGUUCUCAGCCUGACUGCCUGAGCUGGGAGCGGUGUAUAGGAUGUUCAGUGUUGCAUGUUCUGAUGCCAGAUAAUGUUCAGUUGAAAGAGAUGGCUAUUAGGUGCGUGCAAGUACAAGCGUGAAAUGAGUGUCAAUUUGUUAUUCGCCAAAGUGAUAUAGAAACGAAGAUCCUGUAACUGAAGUUGCAUCCUCAGUCCUACAUAAGACAUCCUUUUUCGCAGGAUAAAUGGUCACAACUUCUUCAUAUAUAUAGGCGGUGUCGCUGGCGGAAUGGCAAGAUGCCCAGUCUGAUGACCUAGGUCUGUGGCAAGUUGGUGGACCUCGACUACAGGAACAUCACGGAGGCAAUCGAUAGUAGGUAAUGCUCCCACUUGAUUUUCCAAAUGCAUGUGGCCACAUAUAGAGAGACAACAUGGAAUUGUAUUUCUUUGGGCGCUGUGAUGCAUGAUGAGUGGGCAACCAACAUUGUAUGCAAUGAAGCGGAACCUCAAGAAUAUGCUUUCUCUUCUGUUUUUUAACAUGUUCCUUUUUUGUUAUUUUGUAUUUAGUACGUACAGUAUGUUCUUUGUCCGGAAAGAGCGCGGGGACAUCUGCAGUCAACAGCUGAUAGAGAUGGCAUGUACGUGAUCGAUAGGCUUUCAAUUAGUAGCGGUAAUGCAACACCGUAUUUUCCAGCCAGUUCCACUUUCCCGAUUUAUAUAUCAUGGUUAUGGUGUACCCCUUUUAUGUAUACUAUGAUCUGCUUAGUUGCUGCGUGCUCUUGUUAUCAUGGUUUGGCAAUAAACUCUCUAUACAAUAUAUUAUGAACCUAUCAUCUGCCAACUAUCCUUACUUCUGAAACCUAUUUUUGUGUACUUCUGUCGGAUUAUAUUAAUGCACACACACCAUAUUACAGCACACAUGAGCUCUCUCAUCAGAAUCCAGUGAUAGCACACAAGGGUUUACAAGGUCGCCCUAUAUUAGAAUAUCCUCUGCAUUACAAAGAUAAUCUUAAUACUAUUUAUGUUUUC